UGGGGAAUAUUGCGCAAUGGGGGAAACCCUGACGCAGCGACGCCGUGUGAGGGAAGAAGGCUUUCGGGUCGUAAACCUCUGUCGGGAAGGAAGAACCCCUCGGGUCCCAAUAGGGCUCGAGGCUGACGGUACUUCCAAAGGAAGCACCGGCUAACUCCGUGCCAGCAGCCGCGGUAAUACGGAGGGUGCAAGCGUUAAUCGGAAUCACUGGGCGUAAAGCGCGCGUAGGCGGCCUUUUAAGUCGGACGUGAAAGCCCUCGGCUCAACCGGGGAAUUGCGUUCGAUACUGGGAGGCUUGAGUCCUGGAGAGGGUGGCGGAAUUCCGGGUGUAGGAGUGAAAUCCGUAGAUAUCCGGAGGAACACCGGUGGCGAAGGCGGCCACCUGGACAGGUACUGACGCUG
rnacentral:rRNA from 1 species